rnacentral:SRP_RNA from 1 species
UUGGAUGUGGUGGUGGGCGCCUGUAAUCCCAGCUACUCGGGAGGCUGAGGCAGGAGAAUCGCUUGAACCUGGGGA